rnacentral:rRNA from 1 species
GACGAACGCUGGCGGCGUGCUUAACACAUGCAAGUCGAACGGAAAGGCCCUGCUUUUGUGGGGUGCUCGAGUGGCGAACGGGUGAGUAACACGUGAGUAACUUGCCCUUGACUUUGGGAUAACUUCAGGAAACUGGGGCUAAUACCGGAUAGGAGCUCCUGCUGCAUGGUGGGGGUUGGAAAGUUUCGGCGGUUGGGGAUGGACUCGCGGCUUAUCAGCUUGUUGGUGGGGUAGUGGCUUACCAAGGCUUUGACGGGUAGCCGGCCUGAGAGGGUGACCGGCCACAUUGGGACUGAGAUACGGCCCAGACUCCUACGGGAGGCAGCAGUGGGGAAUAUUGCACAAUGGGCGGAAGCCUGAUGCAGCAACGCCGCGUGCGGGAUGACAGCCUUCGGGUUGUAAACCGCUUUCGCCUGUGAUGAAGCGUGAGUGACGGUAAUGGGUAAAGAAGCACCGGCUAACUACGUG